rnacentral:lncRNA from 1 species
GCCACCACUCCAGCAGUAUUUGCUCAUUGACCACCAACGCUCUCCCCCAGCUCCCUGCCAAAGAGCUCCAGGCUGCAGGACCGCCUCCCUGAUGGAAAGAUCGGGCCUGAUGAAGGAAAUCAGGAGGCAUUCGGUGAAACAGGAAAAUUUAGAUCAAACGGCAGGAAAUCCGCCCUCGGGCAGCACAGAAGAGCCGUGCUGUGGAAAGCUCUGCUCUGGCAGGAGGUGAUCCAAGACAAACAGGGAGCUGCUUCUGGGAUGGACUGGCUGGCAGGCAGGAUGGGUGAGAGCUGGGGCUCUGGGCAAAGCCAUAAAAGCAGUUUGGCUUUGUGCUCUGCUGUGGUCACUGCAGGCGGUCAGGGAGGAGCUCCUGCCCUUCCCAGUCUACAGGAUGGUACCUCCAGCCCACGGAGGAGCAGAAAGAGCCUUUCUCACCAUGGUCUGAGGGUUUUCAUUCCUGUUCUGCUGAGAGGUCCUGCCCAGGAGAGCUGGGGAAAUGAAUCCUCAUAACCCACACAGGGCACGGCUCUGGGCACAGCUGGGGACUGCCUGACAGCCAGAGGUGACAGGAUCAAGAUGUUCUGGUGCUUCAGGCUGUGCUUGGUGGAAAGGUCACACCCAGGCCAGUGGUGGCAAACCUUGCUCUGGGAGCAAAGGAGAGAGGGAGCAGAUUUGGGACAAAACACCUUUUUUCAGCAAAGGAAGGUGAGAUGCCCCAAUGCUGGAGAGGGUGAGAUGAGAUGAAUCAGAGAAUCCCAGAAUGGUUUGGACUGAUAAGGACAGCAAAGAUCAUUUAAUUCCAACACCCUGCCAUGGGCAGGGACACCCUCCACUAGACCAGGCUGCCAGAACCACAUCCAACCUGGCCUUGGACAAUUCCAGGGAUAGCACAGCCACAGCUUCCCUGGACAACCUGUGCCAGGGCCUCAGCACCCUCACAGGGAAAAAUUUCUUCCUAACAUCCCAUCUAACCCUGCUGUCUUCCAGUUUGUACCCAUUGUCCUGUCACUAGGGUUCCUGAUGACGAGUCCCUCCUCGGCUUCCCUGGAGAUGCCUCCAGACACUGGAAGGUGCUGUGAGGUCUCCAUGCCACCUUCUCCAGGCUGAACAACCCCAACCUUCUCAACCUGUCUCCAGAGAUGCUCUUCUCAACUCCGUGGGCCUCCUCACGAUGGUUCCAUGUCCUUCCAAUGCUGGGGAUACCAGAAUUGGUGAGAUGAGAUGAGAUGAGAUGAAGUGAUGGCGCUGUGCUGACUCUGCGGAGCGCAGGAUGCUGGCUUGUCCAACAUCCAGCUCUGUGCCAACAACCGGCUGAACGGCACAUGGCUGUGCCAUCCAGGGGGCAAAACCCCUAAGAGCAUGGCCAGGAGGUGCAUUGCUGGGGUGGCUGCUUGCUUUAGAAGGAAGAAGGCCCGAGCUGAGCCCAGGGCCGAGCUUAUGUAAGAGCUGGCAGCGGGGCUGGCGGUGCGGAAACCCAGCGGGGCGCAGCCGCCUUUGAUUCUCUCCUGUU